rnacentral:rRNA from 1 species
UACGGGGGGGGGCAAGCGUUGUUCGGAAUUACUGGGCGUAAAGGGCUCGUAGGCGGCCAACUAAGUCAUACGUGAAAUCCCUCGGCUUAACCGGGGAACUGCGUCUGAUACUGGAUGGCUUGAGUUCGGGAGAGGGAUGCGGAAUUCCAGGUGUAGCGGUGAAAUGCGCAGAUAUCAGGAGGAACACCGGUGGCGAAGGCGAAUCUCUGGACAGUUACUGACACUGAGGCACGAAGGCCAGGGGAGCAAACGGG